CCAGCUCACCCAUUGGAGCAGAACCUCUGAUGAACAGGAUUUCCUCUUCUGCAAAACCCUCAGGUCAAAUGGGUUUGGUCAUUCCUAAUCCCCUCUACUGUUCCUGGUUCCUACCAGAGAUCAUUCUUUGUGUUUGCUGAAUGUUUCAGAAUUGAUGGGAAAAAAAAAAAAAGGAAAAGCCAACAGAAAGCUUGGUGGAAGAUAAAAGAACACACGUGGAAGAGGCUGCAAAUCCAGUUCACCAUUCAGCUCACCUGGGACAUCCUGGCACCAGUCUGGUUCUGAACAGAAGUCCAGUAGGAAGCAUCCCCAGCUCACCCAUAGGAGCAGAACCAUUGAUGAACAGGAUUUCCUCUUCUGCAGUCAGGGAACUGGAUGAGUUCAUCUCUGAAGAAGUUGGUAAGAAGAAGAUGGUAAGAUGAAGAACAAGACACUGAUGAACUUUACAUCUUUGGGAGCUUAUUCCAUACCUUUUGAUGGAUCAGAAGAGAUGAAAAUAUGUUUCUGUCAGUCUGAA